rnacentral:rRNA from 1 species
GCUUAAUAUAAAUUUAUUAAUUAAUAAAAUUUUAUUAAUAUAAUUAUUUAGUGAUAAAUUUUAUUUUAUUGGGGUGAUAAUGGUAAAAUGAUUAUUAACUGUUUAUAAGAUUUAAACAAAUUUAGAUGAGUUAUAUAUAAUAAAUGAUCCUAUUUAGAGAUUAAAAGUUUAAGUU